rnacentral:rRNA from 1 species
UACAGAGGGUGCAAGCGUUGCUCGGAAUCAUUGGGCGUAAAGGGUAGGUAGGUGGUCUCAUUUGUCUGGGGUGAAAUCCUUGAGCUUAACUCAAGAAGUGCCCCAGAAACGGUGAGACUGGAGUCCUGGAGAGGGUCGUGGAAUUCCCGGUGUAGCGGUGAAAUGCGUAGAGAUCGGGAGGAAUACCAGAGGCGAAGGCGGCGACCUGGACAGGUACUGACACUCAACUACGAAAGCGUGGGGAGCAAACAGG